AACCCUUGCUGAUGCUGUAAAACGUGCCUGGGAGAGGUUCCUUUCACUUGAAGUUCGAGCCGUCGUAAACUGGAGUGGAAAAAAAGAAAGGACAAACCCCAAAAGCAUAAGUUACAGGGAAUGAAAGUUACUGAAGCAAUUUUUAGAAUUCGCCAUGCGAAAGAGUUUGCUCAAGUUACAGACAAUGCACUUAUGAAGGAGACCCGUAAUGCUGUGAAGCAUGCUGCAGAAACUGUACGGAAUAAGACGGGAAUUGUCCCACAGGAGCCUGGUUCUGACAGCAAUGAUGAGUAACGCGACCCAAGGUCAUUGGUGUAUAAGAGAAUCAGCUUGUACACCUUUCCAAAUUAACUGUCCAUCAAAACAAUCAACCAAGAAAAGUUCAAGUACCUGGCCUUGCUCAAGUUGCAUUUAAUGCCUCC